GACGAACGCUGGCGGCGUGCUUAACACAUGCAAGUCGAACGGAAAGGCCCUGCUUUUGUGGGGUGCUCGAGUGGCGAACGGGUGAGUAACACGUGAGUAACCUGCCCUUGACUUUGGGAUAACUUCAGGAAACUGGGGCUACUACCGGAUAGGAGCUCCUGCUGCAUGGUGGGGGUUGGAAAGUUUCGGCGGUUGGGGAUGGACUCGCGGCUUAUCAGCUUGUUGGUGGGGUAGUGGCUUACCAAGGCUUUGACGGGUAGCCGGCCUGAGAGGGUGACCGGCCAAAUUGGGAGUGAGAUACGGCCCAGACUCCUGAGGGAGGCAGCAGUGGGGAAUAUUGCACGAUGGGCGGAAGCCGGAUGCAGCAAGGCCGCGUGCGGGAUGAUGGCCUUCGGUUGGUAAACCAUUUUCGUCUGUGACGAAGCGUGAGUGACGGUAAUGGGUAAAGAAGCACCGGCUAACUACGUG
rnacentral:rRNA from 1 species